rnacentral:lncRNA from 1 species
CGUUAUACUGUACGGCACCGUGAACAACUAAAAAUACGCGCUAAGCGCGUCCACCAGCAUCUCGAGAGGCCUUUUCAGCGGCCAGCUACUACACUGCACAGGACUGCGCGAAUAAUCUUGCUCACCACCCAUCAUUACCCCAGCACCGUACACUGCAUACACCCCAGAACCAAAAGGACCCCACGUUCUGGACGGAAAGCAAGGUGCCGGGCAGCUACACGAAAUCUAUCCGUGAUUUCCUGGAGAGCCGUCAAUGCAAAAAGCUCGAGCUUUCUCAGAAGAUGCUGUAUGUGACAAAAAAAGUACGAGGAUCUUGACGAUAACAAGCAGGCGGCUGGCAGAGGUUAAGGCCUGGCUUGGGUUCAAAUCCGCCUGCCGACCUCUCGGGGUGUUUGAGAGGUGAUGAAAUGGAAGGUGGCCCCCCAUCUUGUGGACGGUGGAGGGUGUGAUAUAAUCGACUUGCGAACUGACCAGGAACUAAGUUGACGCGCCGUUGAUCCGCUAGAUUUGGUUGGAUGCCGGUGGUGAGUUGCCAAACUCGAAUAGUACACUCUGAAGUCGGAUGGGUUGAGCGGAUUAGGGUGCCCCUCUAGCAGAGGAGAGCAGGGAACUGCCUCGGGAAGGAGGCCACUGGUGAAGCUUAACCACCCUGUAACAACGUCAACAAUAUUUUUGCGGCACAAAAAAGUAUUAGGACUCCUAAAAUAUCCAACACCUGGCAUUGCCCAUGCGGCAUCUUCCCAUAUUGAUAAUUGAUUAUGGUACCAAAUGAAAUCCAUUACAAGCAAUCAUUUUUGAACUGGAGAAGAAGUUUGCUUGUAGAUUUAAUUUCCUGGAGUACAUGAGGGGGCCCUACUUUUCAAUAAAUUGUUUUGUGGCCAGUUGGCCAUGUUGAGGUUCUCGGUCAGCAGCUCAGGUCCUCCUUGCCUCAGCAGCCCCCGGGCCUCGCCAGCAGCAGUGUCUCAAGUGGCUCGUUCGGAAGGUGCUCGCUGGGAGUGGGCUCCAUCCUCCUCGGCCCGGUGGCCCGGUGCCGUUUCCGCACAACGCUACCGUACUGGGACAGUGAAAUGGCCGAUACGUGGUUCUUGCCAACUGAACGCAACGAUGCAAAAGUAGAGCAUGACAUAAAACGGCUCAUAAGAAGGGCAUACAGAAUGCAUACAGAAGAAACAUACGAAAGGUACCGUACCAGGAUUUCGGUGCUUGCGGUCUUCCUCAACACACCACCAGCGGCUGUUUCCAUUGAACAAUGCACCAAGUAAGCUGAACUAAACAAGUUGUUACGUUGGAUCCGCAUCCGGACCCGCAUCCGCGGUGCUGUCCGCGCCCAAACGCGGUA